rnacentral:rRNA from 1 species
GACGAACGCUGACGGUGUGCUUUAGGCAUGCAAGUCGAACGAGAAAGCCCUUCGGGGUGAGUAAAGUGGCGAACGGGUGAGUAACACGUGGGCAACCUGCCCCUCGCAGGGGGGCAACCGGAGGAAACUCCGGCUAAUACCCCGUAAGCUUGUCGAGUCGCAUGGCUCUUCAAGGAAAGGUAGCUUCGGCCAUCCGGCGAGGGAUGGGCCCGCGUUGCAUUAGCUAGUUGGUGGGGUAACGGCCCACCAAGGCGACGAUGCGUAGCUGGUCUGAGAGGAUGAUCAGCCACACUGGGACUGAGACACGGCCCAGACUCCUACGGGAGGCAGCAGCCAGGAAUCUUGGGCAAUGGGCGAAAGCCUGACCCAGCAACACCGUGUGGGCGAUGAAGGCUCUAGGGUCGUAAAGCCCUGUUGAUAGGGACGAAGGGCGAAGGGUUAAUAGCCCCUAGCUUGACGGUACCUUUCGAGGAAGCCCCGGCUAACUACGUGCCAGCCGCCGCAGUAA